GCAAGUCGAGCGAAUCUUCGGAGUUAGUGGCGGACGGGUUAGUAACGCGUGGGAAUAUGCCCCUGGGUACGGAACUACAGCUGGAAACGGCUGCUAAUACCGUAUGAUUACUUCGGACCAAAGAUUUAUCGCCCAGGGAUUAGUCCGCGUUGGAUUAGCUAGUUGGCAAGGUAACGGCUCACCAAGGCGACGAUGCAUAGCUGGUCUGAGAGGAUGAUC
rnacentral:rRNA from 1 species